AAGGGUGUAGAGCAGGCCUGCUCACAGUUAUAGCCAGGGGUGAAAACCUUCAAAAGAACUCCUGGCUGGCUUGCCAAAUGAUUUGGGGUCUUCCUUUGUUUCUUCUUUCUUUUAAAUAAUAUUUCGUUGUUUCCAUUACAUGUAAGAUAGUUUUAUACAUUUAUUUUUUAAGAUUUUGAGCUCCAAAUUGUUUUUUUUUUCCCUGUCCUUCCCUAAGAUAGUUAAAGGAAAAAUUUUUGGUCUGACUUUCACCCUAAUUAAGGAGACAAAAUUCAGGACCUAGAGAAUUAAAAUUGCUUAUUAAAGUAUAUCAAGGUAGAAACACAUUGAGGGGCCAAUUACUGGGGAUCAGCAACGGCUUCAAGAUGGGACCAGCUUCUACUUGUGACUUUCCUAAUGAGAUAAAGAAAAUCUGGAUAAGUCAUGUCAGUAAGAGGGGAUGGGGAAUUGCAUCUCAGCAGGAUGUCAAGUAUAUGGCCACUUUCAGGUACAAAAAAGGUAGGAGGAUGACUUGCUGUGACUGAUGAAUAUCAGGGAAUGCAAAACUGCAGCCUGGGUUUGAUUGCCCCGCAGGUCUGGGAACAAAAGGUCACCGAGUCAGCCUAACUUGCAAAAUCCUCCCAGAAAAUGAGUGUGAACUAGAUGAUCUCUAAUAUAAUCCUAUCGUAAUGUGGGCCCUAUAGAAGGUGAAGAGAUUUUCCUGCCUGCUUCCAGUCUGUUUUGUAGCUUUGUCAGAGAGCUCCUUCUGUCUAUGCAAGACUCAGGCGUUUGCAAUGGAAAAUGUUUACACCUAGUCUCCGAAUCGGUUAUAAAUCACAACUCAACCAAUGCAUAAAAGGGAGCUGCUGCUUCUCCCCUGCAUCUUCCCUGUUGCCCGCCCGGCCCCAUUAUCCCCCACGGAGAUCCUGGUCAGCGGCCGCGUAACUUUGGCGGGAGAAGGGCUCAUUGCUCUGCUGUGGCGUGGCUUCCGUGCCGCUGUGAGUCCUCGGCCGUCUCUGUCCCUUUUGCCUUUAUUUAUCUUAAAAAAACCAGAGGGCAAAGGUUCUGGGGGCCCGUGAGUACGGAAGCGGAGGUGACCCCGGAGAGCGGGGCUGACGGCCGAGGAGGUUUCCCCUCAGGAGAUCGGCCCCGCUUGUCCCUUUUGCCUUUAAUAAAAGAACCAGAGGGCAAAGGUUCUGGGGGGCCCGUGAGUACGGAGGUGGAGAUGACCCGGGAGAGCGGGGUUGAUGGCCGAGGAGGUUUCCUCUCAGGAACUCGGCCCCUGCUUGUCCCUUUUGCCUUUAAUAAAAGAACCAGAGGGCAAAGGUUCUGGGGGGCCCGUGAGUACGGAAGCGGAGGUGACCCCGGAGAGCGGGGCUGAGGGGCGAGGAGGUUUCCUCUCAGGGGAUGGGCCCC